rnacentral:rRNA from 1 species
AGUGAACGCUGGCGGCGUGCCUAAUACAUGCAAGUCGAGCGAGCGGCGGACGGGUGAGUAAUGUCUGGGAAACUGCCUGAUGGAGGGGGAUAACUACUGGAAACGGUAGCUAAUACCGCAUACCAUCAGAUGUGCCCAGAUGGGAUUAGCUAGUAGGUGGGGUAAUGGCUCACCUAGGCGACGAUCCCUAGCUGGUCUGAGAGGCGGACCAGCCAAACUGGAACUGAGACACGGUCCAGACUCCUACGGGAGGCAGCAGUGGGGAAUAUUGCACAAUGGGCGAAAGUCUGAUGCAGCCACGCCGCGUGUGUGAAGAAGGUCUUCGGGUUGUAAAGCACUUUCAGCGAGGAGGCGGUACUCGCAGAAGAAGCACCGGCUAACUCCGUGCCAGCCGCCGCGGUAAUAC